rnacentral:tRNA from 1 species
AAAUAAGAAAAUAUUUAGUUUCGACCUAAAAAAAGAAAAAUUUUUCCUUAUUUA